CAUCACUAGUACAACCUUUUAGUACACUAGUUUCAGGGAAGCUACCAAACAUAGAAAAUGUUUUCCGCUGAAACAAAUGGAGCAUAAGAAAAUGGUUCGAAUGUUCUCUGUACAUUCUUCCAAAGAGAGUUUUUGGCCAAGAUAUUGUCUCUGGAACAUUUGAAGGAGUAAUAACACUGACAUCUCUGUGCUCCUUUUCUGUCUUUUUCUUCCAGCUAGCAGCAGAAUAUUCAGAGUGUCCAUCAGGGAAGAAGGGUGGAGACUUGGGAUGGUUUCCGCGAGGCAAGAUGGCUGGUCCAUUUCAGGUUGUUGCCUUUAUUACACCUGUUGGAGCUACCAGUGCACCAUUUAAAUCAAUGCAUGGAUACCACAUUAUCUUGUCCGAAGAGAGGAAGAAUUGAUAGAACUUGGCAUUCGAAGUUAGGCUCUGUUGGAUUAUCAACCAUGAAAUCGAAAUGCGCGACUUUAGGAAGAGAGAGAAAUCGAGUCUUGGAUCUUUGAGGCAUUAGACCUUUGAUCUCCAUCAGUUCUUCGGUUGUUUGAUUUGAAAAAUCUUGUUCUGCUCUUGAUUUGAACGAAUAUCUUCCAGAUUGUUCGAAUCCCUAUGAUCUAAAUCAAUCUAGGGCUCAAGGUUAGCGUUUUCAGGAGUGUAUAUCUUACAGAUUGUUCGAAUCCAUAUGAUCUAAAUCGGUCUAGGGCUCAAGGUUAGGGUUUUCUAAUAUGGAUUUGCUACAUUCACACAAGAUCUAUAAAAUUCCAUGGCUAAAACAAACGAUUUGGAAUUGUUUCUCUCGAUUUAGUUGAUUUCCAGCUUUUUUUUUGCUUUUGCUUUUGUUUUGUGUUUCUCUUUUCGUUUUUGCUCCUUUACUCUUUCUAGUCCUUGUAUGGAAAACUCUUCUCUUUGAUCAGAUUGAGCAGCAGAAAUGGCGAAUCGAUUUAUCUAGGGUUUCGAGUGCGGUGUUAGUGUCUCUGAUCAUGUACGGGAAAAGCAAUUGGCAUUGGAUGUGGAUCAUUGGAAACAGUGACUAGGAGCUCAACGAUGAAGAGAUAUAGAUCAUAGUUAUUCUUGUGGUUGAUUUUCACUGAACUUCGUUCUGAUUUCUAACAAGUAAUCUUUGCUCAAAAUCAUGAUUCCCUUCAGCUUCGUUUUGCGGGUGAUCUUCUAAUGGAGUUGGGUGCUGGGGUAGAGUUGGCAACUACAGCUGUGCCACACCUUUUUCUGCCUUUAGCUUGUGCUACCAAUGUGGCCAAGAAUAUUGGUGCUGUCACAUCAACCUCGACUCGCACUCCAAUAUACAAAGCCUUUGCCAAAGGUGAAAACAUUGGGGAUGUUACUGCGAAGGGAGAAUGUGUUGGCAAUGUUGCCGAUCUGGUAUGCUUCUCCAACUUCCAUUACAAUUUCCAGAAGCUUGUGUUUGCACCGGGCCAAUUGAGAACAUAUUUUGAUGGCUGCUAUAGUGACUGUUGCCACAUAGUUAAAUUGAUCUUUAUAUUUUGUACUUUGUUUCCAGUCCUAAUAUUAUUUGGAGAACAGAGAGGCAUUACUGAAGGAGAUGGGUUUCAUUACUCUGUAUAGUUAAUCGAGUGCAUCAAAAAUAUAGUCAAUCCCAUUAAUUUCCCCUUGGCAUUUUACUAGACCUUUUUUUAGUGACACAAGCAAAUCAGAGUAAGGCAUUACACUGUAUUUUAUAUAUAUAUAUAUAUAUAACUAAGUGGAACAUAUGAAAUACGUAGAGACAUCAUGUUACAAGAAGCACUUGCACUCGACUCGACUGCAAUAGACAAAAGCUGUUUUUUUGCUAUCCAACAAAAAUGGCAAUUAGAUAUUGGUCAGUACUAGUAGUCUUGGAAGUUGACCUUCUCAUUAUUAUGAUUUAGCUGAUACUAUAAAUUGACCUUUCUGCAACUUCUCAUUUUGAAAGAUUGAAACUAAAAAAAAAAAAAUGUUUGGUAGUUUUUCCUAUAAUUUGAUGGAUGCUACAGAUUCAAACUUCUCAUUUUUUGUUUUUGUUGUACUCAGUUACAGUUUAUCUUGCAUUUAGGCACAUAGUUUUGUGACUCAUGAUUAUUUGGAGUAAAGUCUGCAAGUUGCGUUAUAAGGGCAUGUGUAGACACCCCAUUUUUGACCGACCUUGAGACUCAGA